rnacentral:lncRNA from 1 species
GCCAGUAAUGACGGCGCGCUCUCUGACGCCCUUUGCCAAUCUUUGACGUCACUUCCUCCUCGCUGCUGCUACUUAAAGCUCCGGCGCAGUCUGUGGGACAGCCUCUUUGCUUGCAGCGUGGCCAUGGGAGAAGACGUGAAGGUGAGAGCGCUUUGACUGCGUUGUUACUAGUCUCCAUCAGGGCGCUUUAUAUGUUAGCUGUAUCUUCUUUAUUGCAUUUCAGCUUUAGUCCUUCAUUAUAUAUUGAGGGUUUAUCUUUCUACCCCAAUGCUUUAUGGAUAUCUGCUCUUUUUAUGUUACAGUGUACUGAGUGGGUCUAGUAACUGCACCAUCCAGUAUCUCAAUUGCUGUGUAAUGUCUAUUACUAUUGCAUAUGGUCCUGUUGUGUUCAGGGUAAUUCACUAAAAAGCGAAUCAAAAAAUUUUAAGGUCAAAGUAGCUGAACUGAGAAAUUUUGAGUUUCAUUCAUGUAUUCUGGAUUUAAAUUUUAAAAUUUACACUUUAGUAAAUAUAGUGUCUUUCUCUGAUUUUUCACUGCAGAGCAUGGUGUUUAUACACUGAGGAUUUUUAGAUAUAUAUUAGAAUUUUGGUUUUGCCUCAAUAUUCUAUAAAACCCAUUAAGGUUAAUAUCCUGAAAGAGCUCACUGUAAGGGACACUCCAGGUCCUGAAAUAACUAUGCAUUGACUAGCUUUUGGCCUUACUACCAUGCAGUGUUGUACAGACAUACCCCACUUUUAAGUACACAAUGGGACCAGAGCAUGUAUGAAAAUGUAUUUAAAGUGAAGCAAUACUUUUUUUUUUUUUUUUACUUCCCAAUGCAUGCACUGCAAUGGUAAUUUACAGGCAUAACUGAUACUGCAACUGCAGAUUUCCCAUGAUUUUAUUUCCAGUGAUUUAUGUAGUGAUUUCCAGUGGGCUUUUAUUCAGUUAAAACAAACUCUAAAGAGAUCUCAUUCCAGAUUGUACCAUUUAUCUUUAAUGUAUUACUCAUCUGACCCUUAUCCUGGGAGGAAAAUUUAAAUAAACCUGCCCACUGGGCCAUUUUCUGUCAGUACAGUUCUUAUUUGUUAGCAGCUUAGUUGCACACUUUUAGAAACUCCUCUUCAUUGCUUUAAGCAUUUAUGGUUUAACUUUGAAUCCUCAGAAUUGUGGCUAAUGCUGCCAAGUCAUAGUUAUAGAAAAUGGCAGGUGAUUGCAGAAUCUGGGCAGACAAAAAUAUAUAUGUUCAGCUAGGAGUAGACAUUAAGUUGAGAUUAUUAACCUUUGCCAUGUCAGAAGGUGUGAAAAGUUCUUACCCCAAAGACACUGAACGGAGCUGCUCUUGGUGAGAAUAGAACCUUUCAUUUACUGGUCACUCGCAGACAGAAAACAUGGGAAUUUCUGUACUCGCAGGCACUUUUACGUAGACUUGUGGGUAUAUCUGUACUCGUGAAUGUAUGUAAAGCGGGGUAUGCCUGUAUUUGGCUUUUGUUUUGUCAUGCUUCCAAUUUUUUUUACUGUGUUUUAACGCCUGUAGGUCUAUGAUCUGAGCUGCAGAAGGCAAGCAGCCAGAAUGACAAAGGGCCAAGGAGAAUACACUUAAAUGAUAUGUAAGUAUCGUUGUUUGUCUACAUGUAAAACUUUCCUGUCCUAAUGUGUCUUAAAACACCUCCUAUAGACUGCAAGCUUGUUUGAGCAGGGUCCCUUUCAAGCUAUUGUUUCUGUAAGUUUUCUUGUAUUUGUCCUGUUUAGUUACAUCUCCCUCUCAUAAUAUUGUGUGCUAAAGAAUCUGUUGGUGCUAUAUAAAUGGUGAUACACUGGAUUUAUAGCUUUGUGCAGUAUGUGUGGGGUUUAAGAGUUAUGGGGAGGAUUUUUUUUUUUUUUCAACUCUGGUUUCUGGAGCACACUGAAAUGCUGCCUUAAGAGGCUUGCAGUCAGCUGAGGCACAUGAUUCUCCAAGAGACUUGUUCUUUAUAACUAAUCUGCUAGUUUCCCAUAAUGGUUGAUAUUCUAGCUUAGACUGCACAAAACUGCCCUAUCGGCAAUUUGCCAGUUAAUGAAGGUUUUUUUUGUUUUUUUUUUGAUUCUCAGAAUUUUAUCUUAAUUGUUUAGCUUAUGAGGCAUUAUUUAACCUGUCUGCAUUUCCAACAUGCUAUCUAGCCUUUGUUGCACUUUGUUUACCUAAAUUUGUAUAAUAUAACCUCUUGCAAAUGAUGUCUAUUCUCACGAUGGUCUUCCAAGCUUCAAUGAGGCUUUGACGAUAAUGCCAUAUGGCUUUGCUGAUGCAAUAAGGGGGAUCGGUAGUUCUUUCAAAGGUACGGUAGAAUGGUCUAAUAACUUUGCGGUUCUCUCUUUAGGAUCUUGCUCGGAUUGGUACUGUUUCCUUUGGCGCAAAGGUUGGUGUUAUAUUUUAACUCUGCUUCUUUCUAUGCAAUUGACUUGGCUAGUAUUUCUACAGCUUACUUGUGCACUUUUAAAGUGAAUCUCCUGUCUGAAUUCAGAGUCUAACUUGUUCCUGAGCUUGUAGUGAUCCCAGACUUGUGGCGCUUGGGGAGUGCUUAACUACCUCCCACUGUAGUUAUGAUGCCAGGAGUGAUUUUUUUUUUUUUUUUGGCACAUUUCCAGGAUAGGCAGUUAAACUUUUUAUAUAUUUUGGUAAACCUUUAAACAUCAACCUGAUAUCUUGUGUUCUAAAGAGACUUUAGUGUAGCACAAAAUAGGUUCUUUCUCUUCAUGGGUUUGGGCUUUUGAUUGACACUCUGCUCUUCUUGCAGGCUUUGGAACCAAAUUGUAAAAUGGUGCACUGCUGGAGAUGGACAAUGCAGCCAACAUGAUCAAGGUGUGUUAAUGUCUGCAAGCUGGGAGCAAUGAACAAGAGUCCUUUAGUGUGACUGCUCAAUUUACUAUAAGGGGUGGAAUUCUGCUCUUCAGUAGCACAUGAUGUUUAUUCUCACGAUGGUCUUCCAAGCUUCAGGCUUUGACGAUAAUGCCAAAUGGCUUUGCUGAUGCUUCAUAACCAUAUUAAAAGUAGAUGUAACAUGAAACUUGUUUUGAUCUUACAAUUUUAUAACUCUUCAUUUCAGGUGUCUAACUGAAGAAAUUGUUCAAACUUCCAUUUGUGCCGCAAGGUAACUAUCUUAUUCGUUCAUGUAAUGCAGAAAGGCUAAUUAAAUCACUGCAGCAACUAUAACUGUAGGCUAUAAUACCACUAUGAAGCCUGCAGUAAUGUUAAAUACUUGUAAACAGAUGUUAACUUUUCUCAGCUACUAACUGGCUGCACAGCGCAAAUUGGCUUAAGUUGUGCACAACUUACCAUGCCUUAUAUUCAACAGUUUGCAGAAAAUUAAAGUAUUCUGCUUCAACAAUGGCAUCUUUGAUUUAACAUCUCAUACGGCCUUAGAAAUACCCUGGCUUGUGCAUUUUGUCUUCACAAUUCUCCAUAUUUUGUACUGGAUACAGAUGGUUGCAGCAAGGGUAUUUAGUGUCUGGUAAUUACCUUUUUUGUAUGGGAACCUUGUCUGUACUAGAACCAUGAUGAGUCUAUCCCGAACCUGAAUUGUGAUGACACAUUCUAUGGAUCUGACUGCUGAGUUCUGAAAAACCUUAACUUCAAAUACACUUUACUUUAAAAAAAAAAAAAAAAAAAAAACUUAUAAAAGGAAUUAACUUUAAGUCUUGUUUCAUAGGUCUAAACACUGCAGGAGGAAUGCAGACUCAAGUCACAUGUAGCACAUGGUAAGUUCUGUGAUUUUGUACUGUGAGUGUUCUUUUGCCUAAUCUCUCAAUGUGAGAACAUGAAUUUACUGAGACUUAAUAAAACAUUUUUGUCUUCCAGGUGAUGCUGCAAUAACCAAUUUUAAUCAUUCCAUGAAGGUUUGUUCAGGUAUGUCCCUAUGUAUUUGUCUGUAUAAUACAAACUGCAAACAAUGAUGAACUAUCCCGAACCUGACUUGCUGAUGUCAAACUCUUUAUGGAUCUGACUGCUGAUGUUUGCAAAGUUUGUUUUUGAAACCUUUUACACUUGAUAUUUGCACCUCUAACUUGGAUGUUUUAGUUGGCAACAAUAACCUAGAUAUGAAGUAUUAAACUUAAUCCUGUACAGACAUGUGACUCAUCAUAUUUUUUGGCUUUUCUUUAGUGCAACAUUGGCAUAACUCUGGAUACCUCAAAUUUAUUCCUCAAAUCUACACUGGUGUCUCUGGACUAGUCCUGUUGGUGACAGGGCCUCAUACAACUAUAAGCAGAUUUUUAUUUUUUUAUUCUUUUUGCUGUCUAAAAGUAAUUUUAUUAAAAUUAACAGUUC